GCUUGCUUUGAACAUGAUAAUCAAAUGGAAGAGGCUAGAAGACUUUGCUAUGUUGGAAUAACUAGAGCUGAGGAAAAGUUAUAUAUGACAUCAGCUGAA
rnacentral:sRNA from 1 species